rnacentral:rRNA from 1 species
ACGUAGGAGGCGAGCGUUGUCCGGAGUUACUGGGCGUAAAGCGCGCGCAGGCGGCCCUGUGCGCUGCCGGUGAAAGCUCCCGGCUUACCUGGGAGAGGUUCGGCAGGACGGCAGGGCUGGAGGGUGGGAGAGGUCGGUGGAAUUCCCGGUGUAGUGGUGAAAUGCGUAGAGAUCGGGAGGAACACCCGUAGCGAAGGCGGCCGACUGGACCACACCUGACGCUGAGGCGCGAAGGCCAGGGGAGCGAACGGGA